rnacentral:rRNA from 1 species
UACGGAGGGUGCAAGCGUUAUCCGGAUUCACUGGGUUUAAAGGGUGCGUAGGUGGUUUAAUAAGUUAGUAGUGGUAAAUUGAGGCUCAACCUCAUGGAAAUUACUAAUACUAUUAAACUAGAGGAUCGGAGGGGUUAACGGAAUUCUAUGUGUAGCGGUAAAAUGCUCAAAUAUAUAGAGGAACACCAAUUGGCGAAGGCAGUUAACUAUUCGAUCCUGACGCUGAGGUGCCGAAAGCGUGGGGAGCAAACAGG